rnacentral:rRNA from 1 species
GGAUCCAGACUUUGAUUCUGGCUCAGGACGAACGCUGGCGGCGCGCCUAACACAUGCAAGUCGAGCGGGAAGCUUUUUAAGGAUUCUUCGGAUGAAUUAAAAAGUGGAGAGCGGCGGACGGGUGAGUAACGCGUGAGAAACCUGCCCUAUACAGGGGGAUAGCCAUUGGAAACGAUGAUUAAUACCCCAUAUGACCACAGUAUCGCAUGAUACAGCGGUGAAAACUCCGGUGGUAUAGGAUGGUCUCGCGUCUGAUUAGCUAGUUGGUGGGGUAACGGCCUACCAAGGCGACGAUCAGUAGCCGGCCUGAGAGGGUGACCGGCCACACUGGAACUGAGACACGGUCCAGACUCCUACGGGAGGCAGCAGUGGGGAAUAUUGCACAAUGGGCGAAAGCCUGAUGCAGCGACGCCGCGUGAACGAUGAAGGCUUUCGAGUCGUAAAGUUCUGUUCUUGGGGAAGAUAACGACGGUACCCAAGGAGAAAGCACCGGCUAAAUACGUGCCAGCAGCCGCGG